GUAUGCGUAGUGCACACCCAUGGUUUACCAUGAGAUUUAACAGUUAAUCCCCACCUCAACAAGCUAUUCUUGGGCAGAUGGCAACUUGGCACAGAAACCAUGCCAUAUUCGUUGCUUAUUAAGCUAAAUAUUUGGACCUUUUAAAUACCCACAAAAAAUAAUUUAUUCAUAAAAACAAUAAAACUAAAACCAACACAACAACAACAAGAAGAAUCACAGAGUUCAAACUUUUUCUGAUAACCAAUUCCUCUCCGAAUUGAAAAAGGUUUUAUAAAGCAUAUAGCAUCAUGAGAUUCAAAAGUGGAAGCAGCGUGGAAGUAUUGAUCAAAAAGGAGAUGCCUUCAGGCUCCUGGUGCUGUGCCAAGAUAAUCUGUGGUAACGGCCACAACUACAAUGUUAGAUAUGAUGGAUUUGAGGGUGCCUCUGAUAAGGCCGCUGUCGAAAGGGUACCCAGAAAUGCAAUUAGGCCUUGCCCUCCUCCACUGGAAGUGUCAGAAAAUUGGGUUCCUGGUGAUCUCGUUGAGGUUUUUGACAACUUUUCUUGGAAAAUGGCAACAAUUUCAAAGGUUUUAGGAAAGCAGUACUUUUUAGUCAGGAUACUUGGAUCCUCCCAAGAAUUUGAGGUCGGAAAAUUUGAAAUCCGAGUCAGACAGUUUUGGCAAGAUGACAAAUGGAUUGUGAUUGGAAAGGGUUUGAACAAUUAUGAGUAUGGAAAGCGUGGUGAAACUUUAAAGUACAACCAAAGUUCUUGUCUCAAAGCUCAGAAGAAUGAAACGCACGUUGCCUUCUCUCAUAAUCUGAAGAGAAGAUCGCCCUACUUGUAUUUCCAAGAUGAAGCAUAUGAUGGAUCUGCUGAGAAGUUUCGAGCUGUUGAAAGAGAGGGCAAGCGUCUCCGAGUAAUUUCUGCUAAUUUAUGCACACUUUCUGAACAGGUAGAUGUUGCGGUACCAAGACAUAUGCAGGGUGGAAAAGAAAUACAUGCUUCUCUUAACAACAGAGCAACUGUAUUUUCUGAUGUUGAUAUGGAAAGAAGGAAACCAAGUGGUGACGUUGGGUGUUUCUUUGCUGUUAACUUAAGGUUGAAUGAUGCUGAUAGUGUGACAUGCUCUGUUGGUAGUUGUAGUAUCGGUAGCAAUGAUUCCUAUAAGUCACCUCCUCCUGUUUCUGCUAGUUCUACUGAAGAUUUUGAUGAUCGGUCAUCUGAUGCUGAAUCUAUUUGUCAAUUGGGAUAUGAGGAAGGAAACUCUCUCCUUCCUGCAAAGGAAGAAUUGGCGGCUGAGAUCCAUAGGUUAGAGUUGCAUGCCUACCGUUGCACGAUAGGGGCAUUACAUGCGUCAGGACCUUUAAGUUGGGAACAAGAAGAAUUGGGCCGAACUAGGAGGCUUGUCGCCUUUCUUUCAAGUCUCCAAAGAUGAUCUUGGGGCUUGCCAGCUUUCUCUCAGUCUAGACGCGAGGGUAAUUAUUAUAGGACAGCUUCUGAUUCUCCUGUUCUCAUUAACAUAUCUGGUCUCUUCAUUCUUCCAUGUCAGGCCACCUGUGAGCCUUAGAUAACUGUUUUGCUGAAGGAUGUAAGACAAGAAUCUUGUGGCUGACACAGGAUGACCUGAGAUGUGGAUGCUUGUAAAGGAAUGAAUUUGUCAACUCUCUGGGUGUAAGCAGUAAGAAGAUAUCAAUGUCCUGAUUAUAGGCAUCUGGACUGUCCUACAGCUCUUGAAUUCUUUGUGAUGAUUGCAGUAUUUGUAGCAUAUCACAAACUUUUUGCUUGCUCCUGGUUGACACAGAUUGUCAGCCAUGUUCUUUUACUGCAAGUUUUGAACUGAGGUAGGCAGGAGAGGGCUAUACUGAACACAGAACACUGAAGGAAACAUAACUCAUUUCUCCGUUAAUACGACAUUAAACUCUCACUGAUCUCAAAUUAGUUUGUUUUGUCCUUAUUAAUUUUCCAUGGAAAAAUAGUACUGGAUUUGGAUGUCCUUUAGGUGGAAAUAUUAUUUGUUUCUGUCCAUCCUUGCAAGUCGUUUCAUUUCUCUAUCUCACUUGUGUUUGUGAGGCUUCAAAUUUUUAUCUAAGCAGGCCUGAGUUCGAUUU